rnacentral:rRNA from 1 species
UACGUAGGGGGCAAGCGUUGUCCGGAAUCAUUGGGCGUAGAGCGCGUGUAGGCGGCUUGGUAAGUCCGCUCUGAAAGCCCGGGGCUCAACCCCGGGAGGCGGGUGGAUACUGUCAAGCUUGAGUCCGGAAGAGGCGAGUGGAAUUCCCGGUGUAGCGGUGAAAUGCGCAGAUAUCAGGAGGAACACCGGUGGCGAAGGCGGGAUCCUGGGCCAGUACUGACGCUGAGGAGCGAAAGCGUGGGGAGCAAACAGG